UACGUAGGGGGCAAGCGUUGUCCGGAUUUACUGGGCGUAAAGAGCGUGUAGGCGGCCAAACAGGUCCGUUGUGAAAACUGGAGGCUCAACUUCCAGGCGUCGACGGAAACCGUGUGGCUAGAGUCCGGAAGAGGAGAGUGGAAUUCCUGGUGUAGCGGUGAAAUGCGCAGAUAUCAGGAAGAACACCAAUGGCGAAGGCAGCUCUCUGGGCCGAUACUGACGCUGAGGAGCGAAAGCGUGGGGAGCGAACAGG
rnacentral:rRNA from 1 species